rnacentral:tRNA from 1 species
GACCAUAUAGCUCAGUGGUUAGAGCGACUGGUAUAUGUCCAGGAAGUCCUGGGUUCAAUCCCUAGUCUGGUCA